UCCGCUGACAUCACUGGCACAUAAGGAGCCUAUCUCUGUAGUAUGCCUAGUAUAAUUAGAAGAAGCGUGUGCCUCUUCAUAUUAGUUGCCUGUCAGAUUCGAAUUCGUCCUUCAUUGCCUCCUGUGUGAAAAUAAAGCGGGGCCCUUUCACAAAUGUUGCCUUUGCCAGCUGGCCCGAUGGCAGUCGUUGUCAGUAGCUGGAGGUGGUUAGCUGCUGCAUGAGGAAGACUGGCCCCUUUGGGUUUGCAUUAUGGUCUCUCACAGUCUCCUGUAACAUGCACACCUUUCCCAGGAUCAGGUCCCCACAGUGUGCGUGGCUUCUCUAGGGCUCUGUGCCCGCUCCGAAGAUGGCGGCUGGAGCGUUCACGCCCUGUGGUGGGCGGUCACCAGCACCUAGAAGUCAGAAGUCCCCCGUGGCACCUCUCCUUUCUUAGCGGAGCGCCACAACUCGGACACCUCCUGUGGAUACCUCUCCCUGGCUAGUUCCACGGUGGCAGCACAUACAGUGACCCAGUGCUGCGCACCUAGGAGCAAGAUCCAUGGCUGUGUCAAAUAGCCAUAUGAUCCCUGCGGACAAGUACACACCAUGACCCAGGAAGAGACAGGUGGUAAGAGGCUCCAGUGAGAGGUCCCUUCCUAGACUCAGAGGAAAGGAGCAUCUUUAUCUCUGAAGACAGAGGGAAGCCAAGAGGAACCUGAAUGAAUGAGCCUUGC